AUUGAACGCUGGCGGCAGGCCUAACACAUGCAAGUCGAACGGUAACAGGAAACAGCUUGCUGUUUCGCUGACGAGUGGCGGACGGGUGAGUAAUGUCUGGGAAACUGCCUGAUGGAGAGGGAUAACUACUGGAAACGGUAGCUAAUACCGCAUAACGUCGCAAGACCAAAGAGGGGGACCUUCGGGCCUCUUGCCAUCGGGGGUGCCCAGAUGGGAUUAGCUAGUAGGUGGGGUAACGGCUCACCUAGGCGACGAUCCCUAGCUGGUCUGAGAGGAUGACCAGCCACACUGGAACUGAGACACGGUCCAGACUCCUACGGGAGGCAGCAGUGGGGAAUAUAGCACAAUGGGCGCAAGCCUGAUGCAGCCAUGCCGCGUGUAUGAAGAAGGCCUUCGGGUUGUAAAGUACUUUCAGCGGGGAGGAAGGGAGUAAAGUUAAUACCUUUGCUCAUUGACGUUACCCGCAGAAGAAGCACCGGCUAACUCCGUGCCAGCCGCCGCGGUAA
rnacentral:rRNA from 1 species